rnacentral:rRNA from 1 species
UACGAAGGGGGCUAGCGUUGUUCGGAAUCACUGGGCGUAAAGCGCACGUAGGCGGACUUUCAAGUCAGGGGUGAAAUCCCGGGGCUCAACCUCGGAAUUGCCUUUGAUACUGUAGGUCUCGAGUCCGGAAGAGGUGGGUGGAACUGCGAGUGUAGAGGUGAAAUUCGUAGAUAUUCGCAAGAACACCGGUGGCGAAGGCGGCAUCCUGGACCGGCAUUGACGCUGAGGAGCGAAAGCCAGGGGAGCAAACGGG